UCAACCACGUGACCUUUGGCUUACCCUCUCAGAGCCUGCUCAUCCUCCUCUGAGAAACAGAGCCAAUUCCUACCUUGCAGAGAAAAGAGAGCAGAGGCUAGGAGUUAUGCACCAUGCCCGGCUCACGUCCUGUAACUGUUUGCUCAUGUUCUAAUAGUGACUUAUUUCACACAUCCUCAUGUUGGGUUCUUUGAAAAUAAAAGGAGCUUUGUAACUUAGGAGGGCCCAAACGAGGUUUCUUGUUCUUUGUGACCCCGAUUUCCCAUUACCUGGCUUCUUCUGGGAAGAGGGUUCCAAGAAAACUUUCAGAAGUAGAGAGCAAACAAACAAGGAAGAUUUUAACCGGUUAAAAGAGAUGGUAGAUUCUGCCUUUCUCGGGAAGGCCACUGCCUAUGGCUCACUCAUCCACUCAUUCAGUAACUUUACCUCCCUGAUCGAUUGAUUUCCAACCAGCGGUUCCUGUUUUCCAACCAGGAUAUGCAAACAAAAGCACUUACUGGAAGGGAGGUCUCAGGGCCUCUGGAUUUCAUCAGCUGCCCACUCUCCCAGGAGAGCAGGUGGGACCAGUCGAGCCAGAGGCCAAGGCCAGGAGGCAGGCUAAACAUUUCAAGGUCUGUGGGGCCUCUUCCUCUUGAGUUUUUAAUUUCAAUGCGAUGCACAUAAGAAAUGCCAAGGAGGAAGCAGUUGAUUUGUGGUUGCCAAGCCAAGGAGGGUACAGAAGAAAAACAAGAUGAAAUGGAAAAGGUCAACAAGCUCAUUGUGCAAAAUUCUGCUCCCAGAGAGAAGAUAAAGGCAGCACAGCGCUCAGGAUGAAUGAUUGACUCCAAAUCAAGGUUUUUCUGGCUGUGGUUCUAAUCAUAGUGUUGGAAAAAUCAGUUCAUUGCACAUGGAACAGAAAU